rnacentral:rRNA from 1 species
AACGAACGCUGGCGGCAUGCCUAACACAUGCAAGUCGAACGAGAUCUUCGGGUCUAGUGGCGCACGGGUGCGUAACGCGUGGGAAUCUGCCCUUUGGUCCGGAAUAACAGUUGGAAACGACUGCUAAUACCGGAUGAUGACGAAAGUCCAAAGAUCUAUCGCCAGAGGAUGAGCCCGCGUAGGAUUAGGUAGUUGGUGUGGGAAAGGCGCACCAAGGCGACGAUCCUUAGCUGGUCUGAGAGUAUGAUCAUACACACUGGGACUGAGCCACGGCCCAGCCUCCUACGGGGGGAAGAAGUGGGGAAUAUUGGACAAUGGGAGAAAGCCUGAUCCAGCAUUGCCGCGUUAGCGAUGAAGUCCUUAGGGUUGUAAAGCUCUUUUACCCGGGAUGAUAAUGACAGUACCGGGAGAAUAAGCUCCGGCUAACUCCGUGCCAGCCGCCGCCGUAA